CUUUUACUCCGUGAUUUGGGUGAAAGACAUUCACUACACCAGAGGAGACAAAGGAAGCACGUUGCUGUUAUUGCUGUUCAUGGCCUUCUUCCAACAGUAAGGGAAGCUAGUUUGAAGAUAAACUGUACAAAGGAAAGUAAAACAAGAGAAGUGCAGCGAAAUGGUGCCGGAGCCGUGAUGCAGCUACAACCUAGAGUUCUCACAAUCUCUUAAUUUCCUGCUGUCGGCGAUAAAUGUGAUCAUUUUGGCCGAUUUGGUUCAGUUUUUCUGUUCCGUGAAGCUGAAAGCAUCCUGACACAGUUAUGGCUUCCACAACUCAGGAUCAGAUUCAUUGGUAGCUGGACAGUACUGGACCCAUCACAAUUUCAAUACUGGGAAGAGAAAAGCCAGUCCUCUGGGGAAAGAUGAAGCACUGGACCUACAAACUAACUACUUUCAACCCCUGGAUGAAUCUAGGAGAUUAGUCCCGAUAUCAAGGCAAUGUCAAGAGUGAAGGGGAGGAUCAAGAUUUUUUUUGAGUGAU
rnacentral:lncRNA from 1 species